GGCGGCAGGCUUAACACAUGCAAGUCGCACGAGAACACUCUGGCUUUGCCAGGGCAAGUACAGUGGCGGACGGGUGCGUAACGCGUAGAUAACCUGCCUUCAGGCGCGGGACAACCUCGGGAAACCGUGGCUAAUACCGCACGACGUCUGAGCCCCGCAUGGGGGUCAGAUGAAAGCCUUAUGGUGCCUGAAGAUGGGUCUGCGUCGGAUUAGCUUGUUGGUGAGGUAACGGCUCACCAAGGUAACGAUCCGUAGCUGGUCUGAGAGGAUGAUCAGCCACACUGGGACUGAGACACGGCCCAGACUCCUACGGGAGGCAGCAGUGGGGAAUCUUGCACAAUGGGGGAAACCCUGAUGCAGCCAUGCCGCGUGGAGGAAGACACCCCUAUGGGGCGUAAACUCCUUUUCUGCGCGAAGAAACCCCUGUUUUUCAGGGUGUGACGGUACCGCAGGAAUAAGGACCGGCUAACUCCGUGCCAGCAGCCGCGGUAAUACGGAGGGUCCAAGCGUUGUCCGGAAUCACUGGGCGUAAAGGGUGUGCAGGUGGGGCAGCAAGUCAGAGGUGAAAUCCCGCGGCUUAACCGCGGACGUGCCUUUGAAACUUCUGCUCUUGAGUCCCGGAGAGGUUGCCGGAAUUCGUGGUGUAGCGGUGAAAUGCGUAGAUAUCACGAGGAACACCAGAGGCGAAAGCGGGCAACUGGACGGGUACUGACACUGAUACACGAAAGCGUGGGGAGCAAACAGGAUUAGAUACCCUGGUAGUCCGCGCCGUAAACGAUGAAUGCUCGCCGUUGCCUCGUCAAGGGGCAGUGGCUAAGCUAACGCGUUAAGCAUUCCGCCUGGGGAGUACGAUCGCAAGGUU
rnacentral:rRNA from 1 species